UACGAAGGGUGCAAGCGUUACUCGGAAUUACUGGGCGUAAAGCGUGCGUAGGUGGUGAGUUAAGUCUGUCGUGAAAGCCCCGGGCUCAACCCUGGGAAUGGCGAUGGAUACUGGCUCGCUAGAGUGCGGUAGAGGAGAGUGGAAUUCCCGGUGUAGCAGUGAAAUGCGUAGAGAUCGGGAGGAACAUCAGUUGCGAAGGCGGCUCUCGUGGACCAGCACUGACACUGAGGCACGAAAGCGUGGGGAGCAAACAGG
rnacentral:rRNA from 1 species